AAGAGGGAGAGAGAGAGAGAGAGAGGGAGAGAAAGAGAAAGAGAGAGAGAGAGAAAGAGAGAGAGAGGGAGAGAAAGAGAAAGAGGGAGAGAGAGAGUACUGGAGUUCACAACAUUAGACAGCCCUUGGAGCACUACACUACUCUACACUCCACUACACUACACUCCACUACACUCCACUCCACUCCACUCCACUCCACUACACUACACUACUCUACACUACACUACUCUACACUACACUACACUACACUACACUACUCCACUCUACACUACACUACACUACACUACACUACACUACUCCACUCUACACUACACUACACUACUCCACUCCACACUUCACUACACUCAACUACACUACACUACACACCACUACUCCACUCUACACUACACUCAACUACACUACUCCACACUCCACUACACUCAACUACACUACUCUACACUACACUACACUACACUACACUACACUACACUACACUACUCCACUCCACUCCACUCUACACUACACUACACUACACUACUCCACACUUCACUACACUCAACUACACUACACUACACACCACUACUCCACUCUACACUACACUCAACUACACUACUCCACACUCCACUACACUACUCUACACUACACUACACUACACUACACUACUCUACACUACUCUACACUCCACUACACUAUACUCAACAACACUACACUACACUACACUACACUACACUACACUACACUACACUACACUACACUACACUACACUACACUACACUACACUACACUUUACUCAACAACACUACACUACACUACACUAUACUCAACAACACUACACUACACUACACUACACCACACUACUCUACUCUACUCUACUCUACUCUACACUACACUACACUAUACUCAACAACACUACACUACACUACACUACACUACACUAUACUCUACUACACUACACUACACUACACUACUCUACACUAUACUAUACUCAACAACACUACACUACACUACACUACACUACACUACUCUACACUCCACUACACUACACUACUCUCUACACUACUCUACACUCCACUACACUACACUACUCCAUUCCACUCUACACUACACUACACUACUCCACUCUACACUACUCUACACUACACUACACUAUACUCAACAACACUACACUACUCUACUCUACACUACACUACACUACUCCACUCUACACUACACUACACUACUCCACUCCACACUUCACUACACUCAACUACACUACACUACACUACACGCCACUACUCCACUCUACACUACACUCAACUACACUACUCCACACUCCACUACACUCAACUACACUACUCUACACUACACUACACUACUCUACACUCCACUACACUACACUCCACUACACUACACUCAACUCCACUACACUACACUACACUACACUACACUACACUACACUACUCUACACUACACUACACUACACUACACUACACUACUCUACACUACACUACACUACACUACACUACACUACACUACACUCCUCUACACUACUCUCCACUACACUACACUACACUACACUACUCUCCACUACACUUCCCUCAUAAACACAAUCAUACUGUAUGGAGCCAACCGUGCAGCUGUCCACACGUUGAAGUUAAACUCUUUUGUUUGGAGACGCUGUGUGAUGUCCCUGGAAUAUGUCAGGCUGCUGUGAUGCUGUGA
rnacentral:lncRNA from 8 species